rnacentral:lncRNA from 1 species
UUGGAUUUGAAGUGCCAACAUUCAAAGAUGCUUUUUUGUUGCAAUCUGCCAUUUUCUCAUAGUUUAUGGUCAUUCUAUACCAAUAUGUACUUUUCAUUGUUUAUUAGAUCUUGUUCUUUACAAGUGCUUCCACAAAAGGAAAUUUAAAUAAUUAUAAUAAAAAGAAUACAGUUACAUUGAAUCUAACCACAAGUUUACUACAUUGUGGUUUUGAAAAUAGAAGUGUUUAUUAUUUUCAAUCUUAAUGUUUGAUAUUUUGAUAUUUUUCUUCCAACUACAUGGAUUAAUUCACUCAAUUUCUUCUUUUCACCAUCAAAUAUGUAUUUGCUUGAUUUUAUUUUAAUCCAUUUGAUGAACUUGGUAGGGUUCUAAAAUUCAUAAGGACAUUAUGGGCACUUUUUUGGAAUAAAUAAAAUAAAGUACAUUCACACUAAUUAAUUUAUUUUACAUCAAAAAGGUAUGUUUUAAGCUAAACUCAAUAAAUAAAUAAAUAUUUGUUUAUUUAUUUAUUAAAUGUGUUGAAACAAAUGAUUUCAAUCUAUAUGAAACACUUGGUGUUGAUUAUAUUAUUCUGAAGCAUAAUGAGUAAAUUAUCAAUGAUUAACAUUACAAUUUUGAACUUAAGUGUAUUUUUAUUUCACAAACAACUUGUUUUGCUGGAAGAAUAAGAAGAAUAAAAUGACAUCAAGAGGGAUUGUAUAUAUGCAUAAAUGUAGAAGCAUAUAAAUAAGCAAAUAAAUAGGUGUGGAGGGUUGGAAACACCUUUAAGAUGAAUCAAUGGAAUUGGAGUAAUAAUGAGGAAACUUUGAAAGAUACAUAUUUUCUCCAAAUUUUUAUGGAGAAAAUAAGGUUUAGUGAUAGAAAAUCAAGUUAGCAUUUGGUGUGAAGCAUAAGUUUAGAUUCUUUUUUUGCAAUUGUUGGUUUUGAACAAUUUGAAUAUAUAUAAUGAUUCAGAAAUUACUUCUCUCCAAGAAAAAGAACUGCUUCUCAUAAUCAAUUCAUGAAAGGCAUUAUAUGGAUUUUAAGCAGAAUGGGUAGCAUCCAAUCUUCUUCUUCCUAUAGGCCCUUUAUUUAUACUAUUAUUUGGUUUGUUUUGAUUAAAUUUCUAUUUGUGGCUAUGGCAAAAAAAUAAGAUUUUACUCAGAACCUAAUGAUGUCAUCCAGAUACAAUGUUUUCAACAAUUCAAUAUUUGUACACAGUUAUGGUGAAAUCUGAACCUAGAUUAAUCAUUUCUUGUUUGAAGGCCAAAAACUACCACCUACUCAUCUGAAACACAUUUGGGGCAAUGAAUACAAAAGACUUGUCAAUGAGCCUGUUAAAAACGAAAGAAAUUAAAAUUUGUCAAAACUAUGUGUUUACAAAUUUAUUUUCUUCUCAUUCUAAAAUUUACUUAAUUUUUUAUUUUUCCAUUGUGCAAUAGUGUUCAUUGUCAUGGAUUUUUUUUUUUUUUUUUUUUUUUUUUUAGAAAUUUCGAACAUAUCUAAAUUAUAUAUAAUUUUUUAAAAAUGCAUUAUAUAUACAUAUAACUUUAUUCUCUUGUUAAGUUCACGCUUUUUUCUCAAUAAAAAUUUUCCUUAGUUUAUUGUUUUUCUUAAAUUACAAUGCUUUCACAUUAACAUUUCGCGAUUUUAAAUAUGAAUAAAAUAAUUACUUCAAGG